rnacentral:ncRNA from 1 species
UAGAACAAUGUAGGUAAGGGAAGUCGGCAAAAUGGAUCCGUAACUUCGGGAGAAGGAUUGGCUCUGAGGGCCGAGCGACCCGCUGCUAGCUUCGGAAGAGGGAAUCAUAGAGCGGGAGUCCGCGAGGUGGCAUAUUAAUUUGGACUUGGGCGCACCGAACGGCGAACGUUCUACCCUCGGAAGGGCAGGCGGACGGAGCGGGGUAGGGGUGACUCUCCCCGUUUUCGGCACGGGCGCGAGGAACGGCUCGAUCAGAACUGGCACGGUCCGGGGGAAUCCGACUGUUUAGUAAAAACAUAGCGUCUCGAAGGCCGGAGAUCGGUGUUGACGGGACGUGAUUUCUGCCCAGUGCUCUGAAUGUCACGGUGAAGAAAUUUACGGAAGCGCGGGUAAACGGCGGGAGUAACUAUGACUCUCUUAAGGUAGCCAAAUGCCUCGUCAUGUAAUUAGUGACGCGCAUGAAUGGAUUAACGAGAUUCCCACUGUCCCUAUCUACUAUCUAGCGAAGCCACAGCCGGAGGAACGGGUCCGG